GCCAGGCGCAGUGGCACAUGCCUGUAGUCCCAGCUACUCGGGAGGCCAAGGUGGGAGGAUCACUUGAGCCCCAGGAGUUCUGGGCUGUAGUGCGCUAUGCCAAUCGGGUGUCUGCACUAAGUUUGGCAUCAAUAUGGUGACCUCCUGAGAGCAGGGGACCACCAGGUUGCCUAAGGAGGGGUGAACCGGCCCAGGUCGGAAAUGGAGCAGGUCAAAACUCCCAUGCUGAUCAGUAGUGGGAUCGCACCUAUGAAUAGCCUAUGCACUCCAACCUGGGCAACAUAGCAAGACUCUGUCUCU
rnacentral:SRP_RNA from 1 species